rnacentral:ncRNA from 1 species
UGACCCCGUGCGGGAGAGUCCUCCGAUCAUCUCGGAGGCGCCGAAGGAGCAACUCCUCCCCGGAAUCUCUCAGGCUCACGUACCGCACGGACGAG